GGAAACCAUCCAAUAUGCAGUUCUAUAUGCCUUAUCGUCGGAGGCCAGAGGAAAUUGGAUUCAAGAUAAUGAAGGCCAUGAAAUGAGCUGACACAAGAGGAAGAAGCUGAAGAGAAUUGACAGUGCUGGCCUUCACCCAAGAGGCGAGAGGAGGAAGCAGAACACCCCUUAACUCAAGCGGUGAGCUACGGGGAGAAAUUGACGAGGUCCAGACAUGAAGGAGGCACGCCAGGAUACACACAAACCCAGUGCAAUGGCACCUAGAGGCUGUCUGCAGUCUACCACCACCCUUCUGCACACGCACACACCACACACCCACGUACACACACUUGCACACAAAGACUGUUGCAGUAAGGAACAGCAGACCACAGAGUCACCAUGAUAAUCGCAGUUGGAAUUUACGAAAUUCCAACUUUUGCUGCUUUCUUCUUUUACUUCAAACCCAAAUUCCAAUACUGAAAUGUGAAACUUAUUACAAAAAACGUAUAGAAAAUUAUUGUGAAAACAAACKAGAAUAGCAUCGACUUAAAACCAAUUUUCUCCUUUAAAGUCUAGAUGUUUUAAGCUAUUAAAAAUACGUCUUAGACCAUGU